GACAGAGGUGCCGAGCGUUAGGCGGAAUCACUGGGCUUAAAGCGUGUGUAGGCGGAUCGUUAAGUGCCUUGUGAAAUCCCACGGCUCAACCGUGGAACUGCUUGGCAUACUGGCGGUCUUGAGCCACGUAGGGGCUACCGGAACAAAUGGUGGAGCGGUGAAAUGCGUAGAUAUCAUUUGGAACGCCAAUGGUGAAAACAGGUAGCUGGGAGUGUGCUGACGCUGAGACACGAAAGCCAGGGGAGCGAACGGG
rnacentral:rRNA from 1 species